CACGUAGGGCGCAAGCGUUGUCCGGAAUUAUUGGGCGUAAGAGCUCGUAGCGGUCUGUUGCGUCCGCUGUGAAAACUCGGGGCUUAACCCCGAGCCUGCAGUGGAUACGGGCAGACUAGAGGUAGGUAGGGGGAGAUCGGAAUUCCUGGUGUAGCGGUGAAAUGCGCAGAUAUCAGGAGGAACACCGGUGGCGAAGGCGGGAUCUCUGGGCAACAACUGACGCUGAGGAGCGAAAGCGUGGGGAGCGAACAGG
rnacentral:rRNA from 1 species